GAGGACAUGACCGAACGCUAUCAUCCCUCGCCGCGGCCACUAUCCCACCAACCGAUGGGGUACAGUGGCACACACACGCACUAUAGCGAAAAACACAAAUGUACCCAACUAGAAAUCAACAGAAUAGAACACACUCGGAAUGCUAGCUAAAAUACGUAAAAAGGUACACAAAAUAAGCAAGAGAGCGGGAGGUACCAACUCCCGGAGGAAAGCAGUGGAAGUCCGCUUUGCUGCGCCCGAGUUUUCCUGAAUCUUAGCCAAAUGUGCGGCUCUAUUGCGUCCUGCCGCGAGUCUGAAUGAGAGUUUGAACGAUAGUUGUCGGAGAUCCUCGCCGGUGGAAUAGGUACCUAUUCAAGAAAACAAAAUACACCCACAAAAGCAGAGGGGAGAAUAAAAAAGGGAAAAUGCAAGGGUUUCCAGAAGAAAUUCC
rnacentral:lncRNA from 1 species